UACGAUUGCAAUCAGCUACAACAUGACCUUUCUUGCCACACCGGACACACUUCUUGAUUUCCUCAGGGCAGACGUUGCUUUUGUGGCCUUUCUCACCACAAUUGAAACACACAAUCUCUGCAGCAUCCUUCUUCUUAGGCCGCCUAACAUCGACCAUCUUCUAUUUCCCUUUAUCAGCAGGGGCACUGUACGGCUUAGGACGACUCUGCUGUCCCUUGCCCUUUCUCUCAUUCACUACCUUGUAGUGAGCCUUCGUAUCCUCUUCGUAGAUCCUGCAGCUAUUAAC
rnacentral:lncRNA from 1 species